GAUGAGCGCUAGCUACAGGCUUAACACAUGCAAGUCGAGGGGCAGCAUGAAGUUUGCUUGCAAACUUUGAUGGCGACCGGCGCACGGGUGAGUAACGCGUAUCCAACCUUCCCCAUAGUAGGGAAUAGCCCGGCGAAAGUCGGAUUAAUGCCCUAUGUUGUAUUAUGAGGACAUCUGAGUAAUACCAAAGAUUCAUCGCUAUGGGAUGGGGAUGCGUCUGAUUAGGUAGUAGGCGGGGUAACGGCCCACCGAGGCGACGAUGGGUAGGGGUUCUGAGAGGAAGGUCCCCCACAUUGGAACUGAGACACGGUCCAGACUCC
rnacentral:rRNA from 1 species